rnacentral:rRNA from 1 species
AGUGGCGGACGGGUGAGUAACGCGUGAGAAUCUGCCUUGGGGUCGGGGACAACCACUGGAAACGGUGGCUAAUACCGGAUAAGCCGAUUGGUGAAAGAUUUAUUGCCCGAAGAGGAGCUCGCGUCUGAUUAGCUAGUUGGUGAGGUAAGAGCUCACCAAGGCAGCGAUCAGUAGCUGGUCUGAGAGGACGAUCAGCCACACUGGGACUGAGACACGGCCCAGACUCCUACGGGAGGCAGCAGUGGGGAAUUUUCCGCAAUGGGCGAAAGCCUGACGGAGCAAGACCGCGUGAGGGAGGAAGGCUCUUGGGUUGUAAACCUCUUUUCUCAGGGAAGAAGCUCUGACGGUACCUGAGGAAUCAGCCUCGGCUAACUCCGUGCCAGCAGCCGCGGUAAUACGGAGGAGGCAAGCGUUAUCCGGAAUUAUUGGGCGUAAAGCGUCCGCAGGUGGCGAUUCAAGUCUGCUGUCAAAGCACGGGGCUUAACUCCGUAAAGGCAGUGGAAACUGAAUAGCUAGAGUGCCGUAGGGGUAGAGGGAAUUCCCGGUGUAGCGGUGAAAUGCGUAGAGGUCGGGAAGAACAUCGGUGGCGAAAGCGCUCUACUGGACGGCAACUGACACUCAGGGACGAAAGCUAGGGGAGCGAAUGGGAUUAGAUACCCC